rnacentral:rRNA from 1 species
CGUUCCCGGGCCUUGUACACACCGCCCGUCACACCACGAAAGUUGGCAACACCCGAAGCCAGUGGCCCAACCCUUUUGGGAGGGAGCUGUCGAAGGUGGGGUUAGCGAUUGGGGUG